AGCACUGGCCAAAUGUAAGCAAGGGCUUCGCAGAAGCAAAUCAUUUUACAUUUCUUUAAAAUAAAUUACAAUUACUAACAAUGCUUGUUGCCAGUACGUGCCGCGUUUAGCUGCUUUGUUUAUCUGCGACGUGCCAUCGUGAGGGCAAUUAUCUAGUCCAAUCAGUGGUUUAACCGACAUUAGCGAGGAUUCCCCGCAUCGAAGGCGAAUCACUUGGCAAUUGAGCAAUCGCAAUCGUAGGCGUCCAAGUUUGGGUCUCUUCCACUGGAAUGUUCUCCCUCCUUCCUGCACAGUGGGAUAAAAAUCAUUGUUAGUUGGCUCGAAAAUGUAUACAUUAUAUUGUUAAUAAACAAAAUAUUACUUUUUUCUCUAA